GUAUUGAUGAAGAGUCCCACGCUAGGACGAAACAGCUUUCCAGUAC
rfam:Trichobilharzia regenti genome assembly, scaffold: TRE_scaffold0012411